rnacentral:lncRNA from 10 species
UAUUUGAGGACUUGCUGUAUUGUUUUUUUGAAAGUAAGUUGAAGACAUAGAAUAUUCCAUCCGGAAACAUUCCCCACGCCUCACCUAAAAAUAAGAACAUUCACCUACAUUAUCACAUUACCAUCAUCACAUCUAAUAAAAAGAUAACCUAAUUUCAAUAUUAUCAUCUACUAUACGGUCCAUAUUUAAAUUUUCCCAAUGAGGGAUUCCCUGAGCAUCAGAUCUUUUCUUGCUCAGGCUGGACACAGGUGGCAGGAAGAGGGCAGUGCAAGGCAAGUUGCUGACUAGGACAAAGCCCCGGGAAGCCAGGCCCCAUUUUGCUGACUCUUACAGCAUUACUUUCCUAAUAAAUAAUACUGUUAAUUGUUAAGAGUAAUCAAAUGUCUGGCUUCAGUGGUUGUGAAUGUGAUUUUUACUUCCAGCAAACCCAUAAGAAGAAAUCAAAUCUGAGUUAUUUAUGAGUAAAAAAUAAACUGAGGCUGAGCACAGUGCAACAUUGGAUUCUUUCUAUAAUAAGAUUACGGUAUCUCUGUAAUGCUAAUACAAAAGCAUUGUCUCAUGAAGAGGACAUCAAAGAAACUGCAUCCCAAAAAGCAGGAGAAAAAAUACCAUAGAGAUGUGUCAGGCAGAUAAUAAAACAAUAAAAAUAUUGUUUUUAGGGUCCUUGCUUCCAAGAUGACAAAGAAAAGAAGAAACAAUGGUGUUGCCACAAAGGAUCACAGCCAUGUGCAGCCUACGGAUAAGGCUAUUAGGUUCAUCAUUCAAAACACAGCAAAGGCUGCAGUUGUUAGGGACAUUUCUAAAGAAUAUCUUUGAUGCCUAUGUGCUUCCCAAGCUGUAUAUGAAGCUGCAUUAUGGUGUGAGUUGUGCCAUUCACAGCAAGGUAGUCAGGAAUCAAUCUUGUGAAGCCCACGAAGGCUGAACAUUCCCAUCUCGAUUUAGACCUGCAGGUGCUGCCUCAUUACCUCCACCAAAGCUCAUGUAAGGAGCUGAGUCCUUAGAGACUGAAGAAACAUUAUUCUGUGUGUAUAAAUACAUAUUUAUUAGUGGUUGGAAGAGUGAUUGGUACAAAAUAAGUGCACAACAAAUAAAAAUUGCAUGACUUCAGUUGGAGAAAUUUGUAAAUAAGUCAUGUUUGAAAGAAGAGGCUCUGAACACCGGUAAGCAGCACGUAUUAGUUUUACAAUUUCCUCUUGUUCCAUCUUGUAAGUGCUGAUGAUAGUGGACUUUAGGCAAGAAUCUAUUCAGCUGAGCAUGCAUAAACACAGCCCAGAGGACAUUUAAACAAUGCUCUUAAAUAGAAAGCAAAAUGUAGAGUUUCCUCAUGAAUGAGAUGCUUCAUAUCACUUUCCGGCUACAGCCUGUUAAACAUUUUAUUCACCAAUAUGUGUAAGGAGCAAAGCCCAUGCGUGACAGAUGGCAACCCAAUUCUGGCUUCUCUAAAAUGGCUUUCCACUUACUCACACCAGCCCAGGGAUCUGUUGAAUCAAGCACUGCAGAUGAAGCCUCAGCUCUGAAUACUAUUUCACAGUGUGACUCAGAGACCAACUGCAUUUUCCCUGAUCAGGGAUAGCCAAGCAUUGAAACAUGGUCUGAAUUCAGAGUCUGGAUUGUUCAUCCAAUAAAAUGUGCUUCAACUGCAAAAUCUCUGUGACCUUGCCUAAAGUGAGCUAAAAUUCUACGAGUUUACUUUUAUUUUGCCCAAAAUUUAUCUUGCUAAGUUAACUUUUCUAGGUAAUUUGUUGAGAGCUCAUUCUAUGGUAUACAUGUAGAAAGCUAACUUAAUCAGGCUUCAUGAUAACCAGAAAGUCUAAACCAUAAUGCACAGCAGACAUUCCAGUUUAAAACUCUUUGCCUUUGUGCUAUAUUAAAAUGUGCCUUGAAACAGGCAUGAUGCCAUAUGAUGAAUAACAUAUGGUACAUGACAGUCCCUAUUCAUAUGGAAAAUAUGUUAAUGAUAUCCUAUAUAGGAAGUAAAAGUGGAACCAGAUUUAUUUUUCUAUAUACUUAAGCAAAUUGUUGAUUUUAUGAAAGUAGUUGAUGAGCAAGAAAUGUUCUCCUUCCAUGGUUCUUCACUCACAAUUAUGACUUGACCAAAACCAAACUCUGUAUAAGCUGCAACAGAGACAACUGAAGAUGAAAAACCCAUAUAUAACUGGAGAACCUGCUUUAAAUUUCCAUGCCAAUUUACAACCCCCAUACUGUACCAGGGACAGGGUUAUCUAAAGACAUUGAGACAGAGUCUUGCUCUGUCGCCCAGGCUCCAGUGCAAUGGUGCGAUCUUGGCUCAUUGCAACCUCUGCCUCCUGGAUUCAAGUGAUUCUCAUGCCUCAGCUUCCCGAGUAGCUGGGAUUACAGGAAUGCAUUACCACGCCCAGCUAAUUUUUGUAUUUUUUUAGUAAAGGCAGGGUUUUGCCAUGUUGGCCAGGCUGGUCUCAAACUCCUGACCUCAGGUGAUUUUCCUGCCUCGGCCUCCCAAAGUGCCGGGAUUACAGGUGUGAGCCACUGAGCCUGGCACUCUUCCUUCUUUUUCUUGCUUUUUUCAGCCUUGAUGAUUCCUUUUUUUGCUGCAUCAGGCUUUCCUUUAGCUCAAUAUGCAGCAAUAUCCUUUCAUAUUUUUCCUUCAACUUCGCAGCCUUCUUUUCAUAAGGCUGCUUGUCACCUGCAGCAGUGUCAUUCCACAUCUCUCCUAGUUUUCAGGGAUGGGGUUUCACUCUAUCACCCAGGCUGGAGUGCACUAGAUAUCAUGCUAACUGCAGCCUCCAACUCCUGGGCUCAAGAGAUCAUCCCACCACAGCCUCCUAAGUAGCUGGGACUACAGGCACGUGCCACCACAUCUGCUAAUUUUUUAAUGACUUCUAGAGAUGGGAGUCUCCCUAUGUGUGCUUAGACUGAUCUCAAACUCCUGGCCUCACAUGAUCCACCCACCUCAGCCUCCCAAGUAGCUGAGAUUACAGGCAAGAGCCACAGCACCUGCAAGACUUUGCGACUUUAAAGGAAACAAUAUACAGCAGGUCCUCAAAUAAUGUUUCAUUAAAUGUCAUUUUUUAGACUGUUCAUGAAAAAAAUUUGGUUUCUACUGUUGCAUCAUGAGGUCCUAAGGAAAAAAAAGAAAAAAAUUUGAUUCUUUAUAUGUCAUUUUGCUUAAAGUUGCAGUUUCCAAGAACCUAUUGAUGUUAAGUAAGCAGGAAGUGUUGAUCCAGAGUUGUCUCAAUAUAUCCAGCUUGUUUUUCCUACUUCAUGCUUUAAUUUCCUUAUUAUAUAAGGGAAGGUGUUGGUAACACUGAAUAUUAAAUUGUAGUAAUUUCACUGUGUAGGAGAGAAAGCUUCGGAGAUUUUUACACCCUGGGGAAAUAUUUAUUCCAAUCUGCAUGAUGCACACAGUGAAAAGCACCUGCCACCUGCCUAUACUCCCAACUACUCAGAAGGCUGAGGGAGGAGGACCACUUGAGCCCAGAAGUUCAAGGCUGCAGUGAGCUGCUAUCAGGCCACUGUACUCUAGCAUGGGUGACAGAGUGAGAACCUGUCUCAACUUGGCUCACUGGCUCAAGGUUGGCCAAAGUAUUUAUGCUGCCCGAGCACUUAAAAUGUGCCCGUCUUCACAGAACAGUCUGUUCUCACUAUUUAUUAAGAGUUGCCCAGAUGGUUCAACUAAAUUUAGGAUUAUGUGUUUAACACCAGUACAACCCAGUUGUAAAAUAAAAAGCUCCCUCAUAUAACUUCUUUUGUACUCCAUGACUCCAAAAAAUGCUCAAUUUAUUUGUCCAGUUGUUUUGGAUUAUGUGGACAUUCGUAUUCAGGAUCAAUUUUAAAAGAAAGCAGAGGAGGCAAUGAAUAUGUUUAUGUCAACAAUGCUACUGUGGCUUGGACAUUUCUGGGAACCCCACUUUUGCGCUUCAGAGCCUUUUAAGAACCUCAUAAUAAAAUUAGUGUAGUUAUUUUAAAUACAUGCACAUUUUAUUUUGGAUGAAACAGGAUCAGAACAAGUGAUCACCCAACUUAUUUACUGUAGGAUAUAAUAAAUUCCUCUUCAAAGAUUUUAGACUGUAAAUUGUUAAGUACAAUGAGUUCUGAGAUCCUCUC